AGAAGCUUAGGUUAAUACUAAACCAGAGACCUUCAAAGCCUCAAACAGGGCUACCUAAAACCCUAGCUUCUG
rnacentral:tRNA from 1 species